rnacentral:rRNA from 1 species
GCUUACGGCCAUACCAACCUGGCUAUGACCGAUCUCGUCUGAUCUCGGAAGCUAAGCAGGUUUGGGCCUGGUUAGUAAUUGGAUGGGAGACCGCCUGGGAAUACCAGGUGCUGUAAGCU